rnacentral:rRNA from 1 species
CUGGUUAUUCUGAAAAUUGGCAACAAUGCUUAUAAACUCCAGUUUCCAGCACAUGUCAAAAUGCAUCAUGUCUUUCAUGUAACUAAACUAAAGAAACAUCUGGGUCGCAAGUCUAUUCCUAGUCCAGAUCUUCCUGUCAAUGAAGAUGGCACAAUCAAAGUUGAACCGACGACGCCCUUGGGAGUCAGACAAGUUCCAAGAAACAAUAUGCCAGUAGUUCAGUGGCUGAUUCAAUGGAAAAACUUAGCUCCAUAUGAUGCUACUUGGGAAGAUGCAGAGUUUGUGAAGCAUACAUUUCCUCACUUCUUCAAGCAAACUACUGAAGCGUGGCGAUCAUCAAACAAGAUGUCAUGA